rnacentral:tRNA from 1 species
GGGCCAAUAGCUCCAAUUGGCUAGAGCGUCGGUCUCCAAAACCGAAUGUUGCAGGUUCGAAUCCUGCUUGGCCCG